UUUCUUUCACUUCUAAAAUUCAUAAAUGAUUAAAUAAUGCUCCAAAAAACAUGAGGAUUUUUGCAUUAGAUCACAUUUUCUGUCUAGUAUUUUUUGGUUAUUUUUCCAUAAAUUGUGCAUGGCUGGAAAAUUAUUUUGCCUAGGGUUUGUGAACAUGUGUGCAUCUUGUACCUUGCCUUACCAUAUCUUUUGUGAAAUGCUCAAUUUUAAUCCAAUGCUCAUGAAAUUUUU
rnacentral:lncRNA from 1 species